CACGGUAGGGGGCAAGCGUUGUCCGGAUUUAUUGGGCGUAAAGAGCUCGUAGGCGGUUCGGUAAGUCGGGUGUGAAACCUCCAGGCUCAACCUGGAGAGGCCACCUGAUACUGCUGUGACUCGAGUCCGGUAGGGGAGCGUGGAAUUCCUGGUGUAGCGGUGAAAUGCGCAGAUAUCAGGAGGAACACCAGCGGCGAAGGCGGCGCUCUGGGCCGGAACUGACGCUGAGGAGCGAAAGCGUGGGUAGCAAACAGG
rnacentral:rRNA from 1 species